GGGGGAACCGGUACAGAGUCAAUGUGGAGGCUAUAUACAGGGUAUUACGGUACAGAGUCAAUGUGGAGGCUAUAUACAGGGUAUUACGGUACAGAGUCAAUGUGGAGGCUAUAUACAGGGUAUUACGGUACAGAGUCAAUGUGGAGGCUAUAUACAGGGUGUUACGGUACAGAGUCAAUGUGGAGGCUAUAUACAGGGUGUUACGGUACAGAGUCAAUGUGGAGGCUAUAUACAGGGUAUUACGGUACAGAGUCAAUGUGGAGGCUAUAUACAGGGUAUUACGGUACAGAGUCGAUGUGGAGGCUAUAUACAGGGGGUACCGGUACAGAGU
ensembl:lncRNA